GAUGAACGCUGGCGGCGUGCCUAAUACAUGCAAGUCGAGCGAACAGACGAGGAGCUUGCUCCUCUGACGUUAGCGGCGGACGGGUGAGUAACACGUGGAUAACCUCCCUAUAAGACUGGGAUAACUUCGGGAAACCGGAGCUACUACGGCGGAAUAUUUUGAGCCUAUUGGUUAAUUGGUGAAGGACGGUUUUGCUUUCGUUUGUGGAUGGACCCGCGCCGAAUAAGCUGGUUGGUAGGGUAAGGGCUUACCAAGGCAACGAUGGGUAGCCGACCUAAGAGGGUGAUCGGCCACACUGGAACUGAGACACGGUCCAGACUCCUACGGGAGGCAGCAGUAGGGAAGAUUACGCAAUGGGCGAAAGACUGACGGAGCAACGCCGCGUGAGUGAUGAAGGUCUUCGGAUCGUAAAACUCUGCUAUUAGGGAAGAACAAAUGUGGAAGUAACUAUGCACGUCUUGACGGUACCUAAUCAGAAAGCGACGGCUAACUACGUG
rnacentral:rRNA from 1 species